rnacentral:rRNA from 1 species
AUUGAACGCUGGCGGCAUGCUUUACACAUGCAAGUCGAACGGUAACAGGGUGCUUGCACCGCUGACGAGUGGCGAACGGGUGAGUAAUGCGUCGGAACGUGCCGAGUAGUGGGGGAUAACGCAGCGAAAGUUGUGCUAAUACCGCAUACGUACUGAGGUAGAAAGUGGGGGACCUUCGGGCCUCACGCUAUUCGAGCGGCCGACGUCUGAUUAGCUAGUAGGUGAGGUAAGAGCUCACCUAGGCGACGAUCAGUAGCGGGUCUGAGAGGAUGAUCCGCCACACUGGGACUGAGACACGGCCCAGACUCCUACGGGAGGCAGCAGUGGGGAAUUUUGGACAAUGGGCGCAAGCCUGAUCCAGCCAUGCCGCGUGUCUGAAGAAGGCCUUCGGGUUGUAAAGGACUUUUGUCAGGGAGGAAAUCCUAGUGGCUAAUAACUGCUGGGGAUGACAGUACCUGAAGAAUAAGCACCGGCUAACUACGUGCCAGCCGCCGCAGUAAGAC